rnacentral:lncRNA from 1 species
AUUGUAGACAUCACAAGGAAAAGUACACACUUUUAUAUUAUCUCUGACCUAAGUUGCUUGCUUUUUAAAUUUUUGUUGCAUGCAGAUAUAGCAUAAACCAUCUCUAGUCCUGGCACUGUUACAAAUUUAUUGCUGAGGUAGUUUUAAAAGAUGAUAAAAAUAUGCUGAGCUCACAUAUCCCUUUUCUUUUCUUUUCUUUCCUUUUCUUUUCUUUUCUUUUCCUUUCUUUUCUUUUCUUUUCUUUUCUUUUCUUUUCUUUUCUUUUCUUUUCUUUUCUUUUCAAGAUUAACUUAUUUAUAUGAGUACACUGUUGAUGUCUUCAGACACACCAGAAGAGGACAUUGGAUCCCAUUACGGAUGGUUGUGAGCUACCAUGUGGUUGCUGAGAAUUGAACUCAGUACCUCUGAAAGAACACUCAGUGCUCUUAACCUGAGCCAUCAGCUCACAUACUCUAAUUGGUUUAAGUCAGUGCUCUUAGCUUUGCAGCUCUAUAUUCUGUUGUUGGAUUCAAGGUGGGAGCCAACAUUCCCUUGACCAUUAUUAAUUUUUGCUUCUGUGACUAGUGAGCUGUUUAAAGUGCAGGCUCCACAGUCUAUAACGCCCUCUCAGAUCCAUGAGAUAAAAGCUGUUUUUAUAAAUCUUGAUUCUCUUUUCCCCUUUACCAUUCUGAGCUUUUCAGUGAUGGUAAGAAUUGCCACCACCUUACCGUGAAUCCAGGCAGUGGUGCUGGCGGGGAGAGUCAUUCUCUUUUUCACUCC